UACGUAGGGGGCAAGCGUUGUCCGGAAUCAUUGGGCGUAAAGAGCGUGUAGGCGGCCCGGUAAGUCCGCUGUGAAAGUCCAGGGCUCAACCCUGGGAUGCCGGUGGAUACUGUCGGGCUCGAGUCCGGAAGAGGAGUGUGGAAUUCCUGGUGUAGCGGUGAAAUGCGCAGAUAUCAGGAGGAACACCAAUGGCGAAGGCAGCACUCUGGGACGUGACUGACGCUGAGGCGCGAAAGCUAGGGGAGCAAACAGG
rnacentral:rRNA from 1 species